CUCAUUGUGUAGAAUGAGAUUACGUAAAAAGAAUGGAGUGUCCCUGGUACAGUAUAUCUUGAUGAUCAGCGGGUUAAUGCUAGUAGGGAAAUGUAUGUGGAAACAUUGAAAGGACCAGAGAAGAAGUAUGAUGGACAGAUACAGGUGUAUGUUAUAAGAUAGUAUCCAUCACAAUGUUCAGUUGAUCCAAUAGAAGAAAUUAUAGAUACGUGUAGUUCUAAGAAUGUUAUUAAAAAGCUGUCAGAGUUUAGUGGAAUUCCUAUGGAGUACAUCUAUCAUACAGAGGGAAUGUUAUUUCCAGUUGAGAUAUCAUGUCUUGAUAUUGAGAAAAGUUGAAAUGGUAUUCCAUCACUUCAGACAGAUCUUCAUUAAGACUAUUUGGUGAUGGAUAUGUCAUAUAUUACAAAGACAAUAGAGAGACAAUAGAAGUGUUAACAGAUCUUUAAGGAGAGAUCAAAAAUACAAGAGGCAGAGAAAGCAAGGCUGAAGAGGAUUAGAGAAUGUGAAUCA